rnacentral:rRNA from 1 species
AUUGAACGCUGGCGGCAGGCCUAACACAUGCAAGUCGAACGGUAACAGGAAGAAGCUUGCUUCUUUGCUGACGAGUGGCGGACGGGUGAGUAAUGUCUGGGAAACUGCCUGAUGGAGGGGGAUAACUACUGGAAACGGUAGCUAAUACCGCAUAACGUCGCAAGACCAAAGAGGGGGACCUUCGGGCCUCUUGCCAUCGGAUGUGCCCAGAUGGGAUUAGCUAGUAGGUAGGGUAACGGCUCACCUAGGCGACGAUCCCUAGCUGGUCUGAGAGGAUGACCAGCCACACUGGAACUGAGACACGGUCCAGACUCCUACGGGAGGCAGCAGUGGUGAAUAUUGCACAAUGGGCGCAAGCCUGAUGCAGCCAUGCCGCGUGUAUGAAGAAGGCCUUCGGGUUGUAAAGUACUUUCAGCGGGGAGGAAGGGAGUAAAGUUAAUACCUUUGCUCAUUGACGUUACCCGCAGAAGAAGCACCGGCUAACUCCGUG